GAGAAGGAUUGUAGUUGAUAUUUCCUCUUCUUCCUACCAAUGGUACAUUCGGGAAGUUCCCGCAACUGUGAAUAAUAUCUGCCCGAAGCAAGUUCUGGUCUGACCACCAAGAAAUAUCCCCUUAGCUCUUAUCCCCAUCAGUCUCUUCGACCAACUCAACGAGUCCUUGAGAUCAACGAACGCUCCUGACUUGGGUAGGUGGGAACUGAACCACUUAUAAAACAAAGGCGCACAACAAUGCAC
rnacentral:lncRNA from 1 species